GUUUAAAGGGGGGCGAUGAAACCCUAACUACGACACCAAUGCUCCCUUUAUAAACAACCUCCUCCUAGUUCCUACCAUCGUCAAAGCAAUUCAUCUCAGUCAAUGCAUAUUUUAGGGUUUUUAAAUCCAAUCAGUGGACGAGGAAAUAGUCAUCAGAGACCAUGAGAUGAAAUCAGCACACCAGAGAAAUUGCCGAUUUUAUCGGAUUUUGUAUGUAUAACUUUAUGAUAUUAUUGUCAAAUUUUCAAGGUAAAGUUUUUGUAAGUGAGACGUUUUGGGGGUUUUGAAGGAUAAACAAAGAUGGUUUGAGCUAGAAAAUGUUAAUACCCUUAUCAAAGAUUGACCUCAAAGAUCUUUUUCAAGUUUCGAUUCCAUCUAUGAGGCGAGAUAAAACAAAAAAAGAUCGAAGAUUUUCAAAGUUUAUCGAGGAUAGAGAUCCAAUGUUUGGACUUUGGAUAGUAACCUUAAAAGUUAUUUGGAGGUGCGAAGGGUUUGUAAAAGGAAUUGUAUGCUAAUUAUUUUUUAAAGAAUGAAACAAAUUUGUUAGAAAAGGUAAGUCUAAUUGUGGCAAAUGUAAAUGACGACAUCGCUGAACAAUAUCGUUUCUGUUUUUUCAUCUUCUUAA